GACGAACGCUGGCGGCGUGCCUAAUACAUGCAAGUCGAGCGGACUGAUUAAGAGCUUGCUCUUAUGACGUUAGCGGCGGACGGGUGAGUAACACGUGGGCAACCUGCCCUGUAGAUCGGGAUAACACCGAGAAAUCGGUGCUAAUACCGGGUAAUAUCUGAGAUCACAUGAUCUUAGGUUAAAAGAUGGCUCCGGCUAUCACUACAGGAUGGGCCCGCGGCGCAUUAGCUAGUUGGUAAGGUAAUGGCUUACCAAGGCGACGAUGCGUAGCCGACCUGAGAGGGUGAUCGGCCACACUGGGACUGAGACACGGCCCAGACUCCUACGGGAGGCAGCAGUAGGGAAUCUUCCGCAAUGGACGAAAGUCUGACGGAGCAACGCCGCGUGAGUGAUGAAGGGGUUCGGCUCGUAAAGCUCUGUUGUUAGGGAAGAAACAGUACCGAACGAACUAGGUCGGUACCUUGACGGUACCUAAACAGAAAGCCACGGCUAACUACGUG
rnacentral:rRNA from 1 species